rnacentral:rRNA from 1 species
UUAAGUGAAUAAGGGCGCACGGUGGAUGCCUUGGCACUAGGAGCCGAUGAAGGACGGGACUAACACCGAUAUGCUUUGGGGAGCUGUAAGUAAGCUAUGAUCCAGAGAUUUCCGAAUGGGGGAACCCAAUAUCUUUUAUAGGAUAUUACUUUUCAGUGAAUACAUAGCUGAUUAGAGGUAGACGCAGAGAACUGAAACAUCUUAGUACCUGCAGGAAGAGAAAGAAAAUUCGAUUCCCUGAGUAGCGGCGAGCGAAACGGGAAGAGCCCAAACCAACAAGCUUGCUUGUUGGGGUUGUAGGACUCCAAUAUGGUAGUCUGUUAGUAUAGUUGAAGGAUUUGGAAAAUUCCGCUAAAGAGGGUGAAAGCCCCGUAGACGAAAUGCUGACAACACCUAGGAGGAUCCUGAGUACGGCGGAACACGAGAAAUUCCGUCGGAAUCCGCGGGGACCAUCCCGCAAGGCUAAAUACUCCCUAGUGACCGAUAGUGAACCAGUACCGUGAGGGAAAGGUGAAAAGCACCCCGGAAGGGGAGUGAAAUAGAUCCUGAAACCGUGUGCCUACAACAAGUCAAAGCUCGUUAAUGAGUGAUGGCGUGCCUUUUGUAGAAUGAACCGGCGAGUUACGAUUGCAUGCGAGGUUAAGUCGAAGAGACGGAGCCGCAGCGAAAGCGAGUCUGAAUAGGGCGAAUGAGUAUGUAGUCGUAGACCCGAAACCAUGUGAUCUACCCAUGUCCAGGUUGAAGGUGCGGUAAAACGCACUGGAGGACCGAACCCACGUACGUUGAAAAGUGCGGGGAUGAGGUGUGGGUAGCGGAGAAAUUCCAAACGAACUUGGAGAUAGCUGGUUCUCUCCGAAAUAGCUUUAGGGCUAGCCUCGGAAUUGAGAAUGAUGGAGGUAGAGCACUGUUUGGACUAGGGGCCCAUCUCGGGUUACCGAAUUCAGAUAAACUCCGAAUGCCAUUCAUUUAUAUCCGGGAGUCAGACUGCGAGUGAUAAGAUCCGUAGUCGAAAGGGAAACAGCCCAGACCACCAGCUAAGGUCCCAAAAUAUAUGUUAAGUGGAAAAGGAUGUGGGGUUGCACAGACAACUAGGAUGUUGGCUUAGAAGCAGCCACCAUUUAAAGAGUGCGUAAUAGCUCACUAGUCGAGUGACCCUGCGCCGAAAAUGUACCGGGGCUAAACAUAUUACCGAAGCUGUGGACUACACCAUUAGGUGUAGUGGUAGGAGAGCGUUCUAAGGGCGUUGAAGGUCGAUCGUGAGGACGGCUGGAGCGCUUAGAAGUGAGAAUGCCGGUAUGAGUAGCGAAAGACAGGUGAGAAUCCUGUCCACCGUAUGACUAAGGUUUCCUGGGGAAGGCUCGUCCGCCCAGGGUUAGUCGGGACCUAAGCCGAGGCCGAUAGGCGUAGGCGAUGGACAACAGGUUGAUAUUCCUGUACCAGUUGUUUUUGUUUGAGCAAUGGAGGGACGCAGUAGGCUAAGGAAUGCAUGCGAUUGGAAGUGCAUGUCCAAGCAAUGAGUCUUGAGUAGAGUUAAAUGCUUUACUCUUUAAGGACAAGUUGUGACGGGGAGCGAAAUAAUAGUAGCGAAGUUCCUGAUGUCACACUGCCAAGAAAAGCUUCUAGUGAGAAAACAACUGCCCGUACCGUAAACCGACACAGGUAGUCGAGGAGAGUAUCCUAAGGUGAGCGAGCGAACUCUCGUUAAGGAACUCGGCAAAAUGACCCCGUAACUUCGGGAGAAGGGGUGCUGACUUCGGUCAGCCGCAGUGAAUAGGCCCAAGCGACUGUUUAUCAAAAACACAGGUCUCUGCAAAAUCGUAAGAUGAAGUAUAGGGGCUGACGCCUGCCCGGUGCUGGAAGGUUAAGAGGAUGGGUUAGCUUCGGCGAAGCUCAGAAUUGAAGCCCCAGUAAACGGCGGCCGUAACUAUAACGGUCCUAAGGUAGCGAAAUUCCUUGUCGG